rnacentral:rRNA from 1 species
GUAAGACCCUGAGAGAUGAUCAGGUAGAUAGGCUGGAAGUGGAAGUGCAGCGAUGCAUGGAGCGGACCAGUACUAAUCGGUCGAGGACUUAACCAA